rnacentral:misc_RNA from 1 species
GGUGUCGCGAUCGCUCCGUCGGGGCGCACAGCGUCGGUCCAUGCG